ACCAGGAUGUCCAAGUGGUUAAGGUGUUGGACUUAAGAUCUUAAUGGACAUAUGUCCGCGUGGGUUCGAACCCCACUCCUGGUA